rnacentral:rRNA from 1 species
GCGAACGCUGGCGGCAGGCUUAACACAUGCAAGUCGAACGGGCACUUCGGUGCUAGUGGCAGACGGGUGAGUAACACGUGGGAACGUACCUUUCGGUUCGGAAUAAUCCAGGGAAACUUGGACUAAUACCGGAUACGCCCUUCGGGGGAAAGAUUCAUCGCCGAUAGAUCGGCCCGCGUCUGAUUAGCUAGUUGGUGAGGUAAUGGCUCACCAAGGCGACGAUCAGUAGCUGGUCUGAGAGGAUGAUCAGCCACAUUGGGACUGAGACACGGCCCAAACUCCUACGGGAAGCAGCAGUGGGGAAUAUUGGACAAUGGGCGCAAGCCUGAUCCAGCCAUGCCGCGUGAGUGAUGAAGGCCUUAGGGUUGUAAAGCUCUUUUGUCCGGGAAGAUAAUGACUGUACCGGAAGAAUAAGCCCCGGCUAACUUCGUG